rnacentral:SRP_RNA from 1 species
GCCAGGUGCGGUGGCAUGUGGUGCUUGUAGUCCCAGCUACUCCAGAGGCUGAGGUGGGAGGAUCGCUUGAGCCCAGGAGUUCUGGGCUGUAGUGCGCUAUGCCAGUCAGGUGUCCAUACUAAGUUUGGCAUCAAUAUGGUGACCUUCCGGGAGUGGGGACGACCAGGUUGCCUAAGGAGGGGUGAUCUGGCCCACGUUGGAAAUGGAGUAGGUCAAAACUCCUGCGCUGAUCAGUAGUGGGAUUGCACCUGCAAAUAGCCACGGCACUCCAGCCUGGGCAACAUAGUGAGACCCCGUCUCU